rnacentral:rRNA from 1 species
UGGGGAAUUUUGGACAAUGGGCGAAAGCCUGAUCCAGCCAUGCCGCGUGCAGGAUGAAGGCCUCCGGGUUGUAAACUGCUUUUGUACGGAACGAAAAGCCUCUUUCUAAUAAAGAGAGGUCAUGACGGUACCGUAAGAAUAAGCACCGGCUAACUACGUGCCAGCAGCCGCGGUAAUACGUAGGGUGCAAGCGUUAAUCGGAAUUACUGGGCGUAAAGCGUGCGCAGGCGGUUUUGUAAGACAGAGGUGAAAUCCCCGGGCUCAACCUGGGAACUGCCUUUGUGACUGCAAGGCUGGAGUGCGGCAGAGGGGGAUGGAAUUCCGCGUGUAGCAGUGAAAUGCGUAGAUAUGCGGAGGAACACCGAUGGCGAAGGCAAUCCCCCUGGGGCCGUGCAACCUGGACGCUCAUGCACGAAAGCGUGGGGAGCAAACAGGAUUAGAUACCCUGGUAGUCCACGCCCUAAACGAUGUCAACUGGUUGUUGGGUCUUCACUGACUCAGUAACGAAGCUAACGCGUGAAGUUGACCGCCUGGGGAGUACGCCGCAAGGUUGAAACUCAAAGGAAUUGACGGGG